UACGGGGGGAGCAAGCGUUGUUCGGAUUUACUGGGCGUAAAGGGCGCGUAGGCGGCCACCGCAAGUCGACUGUGAAAUCUCCGGGCUUAACCCCGGAAAGGUCAGCCGAUACUGCGGGGGCUAGAGUGCAGAAGGGGCAACUGGAAUUCUCGGUGUAGCGGUGAAAUGCGUAGAUAUCGAGAGGAACACCUGCGGCGAAGGCGGGUUGCUGGGCUGACACUGACGCUGAGGCGCGAAAGCUAGGGGAGCGAACGGG
rnacentral:rRNA from 1 species